GUUAAAUCCUGGGCCAGUUGUUUCCAGGGGGAAUCAUUUCAACGUAACACAAAACAGUGGAUUAGCCAGAAGCUUCAUUCAAUC